AUUGAACGCUGGCGGCAGGCCUAACACAUGCAAGUCGAGCGGAGCGGCGGACGGGUGAGUAAUGCCUAGGAAUCUGCCUGGUAGUGGGGGAUAACGUCCGGAAACGGGCGCUAAUAACGCAUACUUUCCGAUGAGCUUCGGUCGGAUUAGCUAGUUGGGGGGGUAAAGGCCUACCAAGGCGACGAGCCGUAACUGGUCUGAGAGGAUGAUCAGUAACACUGGAACGGAGACACGGGCCAGACUCCUACGUGAGGCAGCAGUGGGGAAUAUUGGACAAUGGGCGAAAGCCUGAUCCAGCCAUGCCGCGUGUGUGAAGAAGGUCUUCGGAUUGUAAAGCACUUUAAGUUGGGAGGCGUUACCAACAGAAGAAGCACCGGCUAACUUCGUGCCAGCCGCCGCGGUAAUAC
rnacentral:rRNA from 1 species